AUCCAGCUGACGAGUUCUAAAUAGGACGAAGUGCGUGUCUUGGAU
rfam:Schistosoma margrebowiei strain Zambia genome assembly, scaffold: SMRZ_scaffold0002689